GAUGAACGCUGGCGGCGUGCCUAAUACAUGCAAGUCGAGCGAACAGACGAGGAGCUUGCUCCUCUGACGUUAGCGGCGGACGGGUGAGUAACACGUGGAUAACCUACCUAUACGACUGGGAUAACUUCGGGAAACCGGAGCUAAUACCGGAUAAUAUAUUGAACCGCAUGGUUCAAUAGUGAAAGACGGUUUUGCUGUCACUUAUAGAUGGAUCCGCGCCGCAUUAGCUAGUUGGUAAGGUAACGGCUUACCAAGGCAACGAUGCGUAGCCGACCUGAGAGGGAGAUCGGCCACACUGGAACUGAGACACGGUCCAGACUCCUACGGGAGGCAGCAGUAGGGAAUCUUCCGCAAUGGGCGAAAGCCUGACGGAGCAACGCCGCGUGAGUGAUGAAGGUCUUCGGAUCGUAAAACUCUGUUAUUAGGGAAGAACAAAUGUGUAAGUAACUAUGCACGUCUUGACGGUACCUAAUCAGAAAGCCACGGCUAACUACGUG
rnacentral:rRNA from 1 species